rnacentral:lncRNA from 1 species
GGAAGGCAAUAUUCUCUUCAGUCAAGGAAGCUAAAUCCAAAUGCCUGGCUUCUAAGCUAAAAGAAAAAUGGGUAGUUAAUCCAGAAGAGACCAAACUAAGUAUUUUAUGUGAGUUGGAGUUUAAAGAAGACUUCAUAACACUAUUUGAGCCUUCCCUAAGAACAUUACCCAGCAUUGGGCCACCACCCAUUCUGGCAUACAGACAAGAGCGAUCCAACCUAGACAUUAACUUCAGGGAUGAAGAGGAGGAGCUAUCACCCACAUGUGAAUUUUGCGGAAGCAAUCUCCAGGCAUUUCUUUCUAGUGUGGAUUGCAUUUACUCUGAAUCAAAAGCAUGUACUUCCUGUUGUCCUCAAUUCCAAAAUCUGAUUGACUGUAUCUAUGAAGAAAAACAAAAAAUCAAAAGCUCUAAACCUGAAUUAAUCAGUAUUAAACCUCACAAAGCCUAUGGCGCUGAAGUUGAUAGAAUGAAAGCAAAAGCAAAAGCCCUGCGGAGAAAACAGGAGCGACAAAUUGCCAGACAUCUCACUGUGGUGCGAAAUGAACAGAUGAAUUUACCUGUAGAAGAUUCAAAGAAUUUCAGAACUAUUUCUUAUCAACUUUCUGUGGAUAUUCCAGAAAAAAAGCCAACUGAUGAGGAACCAUUUUAUUUCCAACUAAUACAGAGUAACAUAUCCAUUGUUUGUUGUGAUUCUAGGAAAGCAUGCGGAAAGGUAACUCAUUUGUAAUUUUUUAUUUGCUCUUUUACAAAAAUCAGUUUUACCUGAAAUUUAAAAAGCUUUCAUGAGGGCUGGGGAUUUAGCUCAACUGUGCUGCUGCCUGCCUUGUAAGCCCAAGGUCCUGAGUUCUAUCCCCA